AUAUAAGAAAUAUAAUAAACUAUUAAAAAGUAGAUCUCAUACCAAAUUAUAAAUUUACUUUAAAAUACUUGUAAUGGACUUUGGCAUAAACGGAUCUACGAGAAUAAUCUCAUGAAAUUAUUCUAUCUCCACCGUAAUUCAAUUAUGAAUCCCCGCGCAAAAAUAAACUUUAAUCAUCCCGUUGGAGGGUAAGUGCAAUAUUUAGCAUGACACGGGUAGCAUUAAAAGCACGCGUGGGUGUUCGGCCGGACGUGCCAAAAGAGAAGGGGAUGCUGUGCGUAUAAUCCGACAACGGGGCGCCGCGUGACGUCACUGCUCGUCAAUAUUAUACCCUUGUCUCGUCGCCACUGAUGCUUCUGUUUUUCCAUUACGCACAAAAAAAAAAACAGCAACAGGUCGUUCGAUUCUUAUAUCGUAUCAAUCGACACAAUAUGGUAGAAAAAUAAUAUCAUUUGUUAUAUUAUUUAUAACUUUCUCCUCGUUUUUGGAAACCAUAAUUUAACAACACUAACGUUAAUUUUGACCGCGUUCGUGCGACACCGAAUUCGCCCCGGAUCUCGCGUUUUUUCGUUCUUGAAACAGGCACGUAACCGACACCGUUGCGAAAUCGAUCCCGGUCGAGAGCGACGAUAAUGACCAUAGGCGUCGAAAAGCGUAUUUCAUUUCUUCUGCGAAUAUUAAUUACGACCGAUCAACUCGGUUAAUAAUAAAGAAAAAUCACAAAAUAUAUUUUGUCCGUGAGGGCGUUAUGUAAAAAUCGUGUUUCUGUCUUGAAUAAUCCUUCUCUGCGCCUUUCGAGAAAUACGAGUUACGAUUGGAAAGUACGGUACUUUCGCGGGAAUCCGUGCGUCCAUUAAAUGGACGCUAUAACUUUGCGAACCGAAUAUACCGAAUAACCAUCGAAAUAUUUCCUUUUUCGAGCACAUUCAGGAGAAAAUGUUAAAAGCAGGAACUUUCGCGUGCCGAUUAAUUAAUCUCCCUUCAAGAAAAGACAAAGAAAGGUACUUGACUCUAAGAGACAAUAUGGUAGCACAGCCUGUCAAACGGUUUACCGGUAAUUUUACGACGAUGCCAGAGACCUGCGCAGAGAGAAGCGUGGAGAGAGAAAAAGCGAACCCGGUAGGAGUGGGGGAUCGGUGACAGCGUCACGAAACCGAGAGAGAUCCUUUGUCGACGCGCGUUGCGAGGUUACGUUUAUUUCAGUCUAUUCGUCGCUAUUUCUAGCAAGCACCAGAUCGAAUAUGCUUUUUCGUUCUGCCUGCGGGUAUAUAUAUAUAUAUAUAUGUAUACAUGAACAUACCAUCUUUCCCUUCCUCUUUCUCUUUAUAUUGUUUUUCUUUCCAAUUCUUUCUCCCUUUUUCUUUCAUAAUAUGAUCGCGUUAUCGUCUUUCUUUGUGCGAGAAUGAUUCUCUCUUCGUCGGCUCGCUGCACAAAAAUACAGGCAAAGAGAAAAGGUAGAGGAGGGCGAGUGCACGUGCAGUGGAGGAUCAGCUGUGUCGACCAACGUAUAAAUAAUUUUCUCGGCCCACUUCCACACACCGUGGUGCAGCGCAAAGGCUAUGUUAACCACGGCGUUUACGUCGGGUAUCCUGUAAUGAUGUAGCGAGACACUUCGUGAAACGCGCGUAUAUGAUGCUCGUUAUUUAAUGCUCUGUCAAAGCGUAAUUUCAACGCUUCUCAUCCCUCUAACCAUUCUUUUUUAUCCCUCAGUUUUUUCGCGGACUAAUGGAUAUACCGGAGUAAUUGCAAAUGGUAUACUGACUGAAGGGGAGAAAGAAGAGACGACAAAAGUGUAAAUGGCUGGCGACAUUUUAUAAGCAGAAAUAAUCUUACGAAUUGUGAGAUGAAGUGAUUGAAAUGAAAUAAUAAUUGCAUAUUAAUUACACAUGUGUAAAGAAGUGGAAGAAUGUUGAAGAAUUAGUAAAAAACAUGAGAAAAGAAAGCCAAGUGGCAAUGAGAUUUCUCAUGGCUAAAUAAGGAUAGAAUCAAGGCGUAUGCUAUCGAGAAUUCGGAAAUCGGUGGAAUGUCACUCAUGAUCAAGUGUCACACGAGGCAACGUAUCGUUUGUAAACAAGCCAGAAAACAUGACAGACAACUAGAAAUCAGAAAACUUGGAAGUGUACCUCUAUUAAGACGUUUCGCUGGAACAUUUCUUUACUAUUUUCAUUUUUAAUUUUAUUUUCAACCAUGGAUUAAAGAAUUGAAGAUUUGAUUUCAUUCUAAGAAUUUUUAAAUACAUUAAAUGUAUUAAAGGAUAAAUAAAUUAAUCAUCUGUAAACUAAAAA
rnacentral:lncRNA from 1 species